rnacentral:tRNA from 1 species
GCGCCCGUAGCUCAGCUGGAUAGAGCGUCUGACUACGAAUCAGAAGGGCGGGGGUUCAAGUCCCUCCGGGCGCG